GGUACGGGGAUUAGGGUUCGAUUCCGGAGAGGGAGCCUGAGAAACGGCUACCACAUCCAAGGAAGGCAGCAGGCGCGCAAAUUACCCAAUCCCGACACGGGGAGGUAGUGACAAUAAAUAACAAUACGGGGCUCUUUCGGGUCUCGUAAUUGGAAUGAGUACAAUUUAAAUCCCUUAACGAGGAACAAUUGGAGGGCAAGUCUGGUGCCAGCAGCCGCGGUAAUUCCAGCUCCAAUAGCGUAUAUUAAAGUUGUUGCAGUUAAAAAGCUCGUAGUUGAAUUUCGGGAUUGACACAUCGGUCGUGCCUUAAGGGGUAUGAACUGGUGUAGUCAAUUUCUCACCUUCUGGAGAACCGCAAUGCCCUUAAUUGGGUGUCGCGGGGAACCAGGACCUUUACUUUGAAAAAAUUAGAGUGUUUAAAGCAGGCAUUUUGCUUGAAUACAUUAGCAUGGAAUAAUAAAAUAGGACGGCAUGAUUCUAUUUUGUUGGUUUCUAGGAUCACCGUAAUGAUUAAUAGGGAUAGUUGGGGGCAUUAGUAUUCAAUUGUCAGAGGUGAAAUUCUUGGAUUUAUUGAAGACUAACUACUGCGAAAGCAUUUGCCAAGGAUGUUUUCAUUAAUCAAGAACGAAAGUUAGGGGAUCGAAGACGAUCAGAUACCGUCGUAGUCUUAACCAUAAACUAUGCCGACUAGGAAUCAGACGAUGUUAAUUUUUUAAUGACUCGUUUGGCACCUUACGGGAAACCAAANUUUUKGGUUUC
rnacentral:rRNA from 1 species